rnacentral:tRNA from 1 species
GGAGCCGUGGCUGAGUCCGGUCGAAAGCGCCACACUGCUAACGUGGUAGGGUCUCAAAGCCCUCCUGGGUUCAAAUCCCAGCGGCUCCG